GAUGAACGCUGGCGGCGUGCCUAAUACAUGCAAGUCGAGCGAACGGACGAGAAGCUUGCUUCUCUGAUGUUAGCGGCGGACGGGUAAGUAACACGUGGAUAACCUACCUAUAAGACUGGGAUAACUUCGGGAAACCGGAGCUAAUACCGGAUAAUAUUUUGAACCGCAUGGUUCAAAAGUGAAAGACGGUCUUGCUGUCACUUAUAGAUGGAUCCGCGCUGCAUUAGCUAGUUGGUAAGGUAACGGCUUACCAAGACAACGAUGCAUAGCCGACCUGAGAGGGUGAUCGGCCACACUGGAACUGAGACACGGUCCAGACUCCUACGGGAGGCAGCAGUAGGGAAUCUUCCGCAAUGGGCGAAAGCCUGACGGAGCAACGCCGCGUGAGUGAUGAAGGUCUUCGGAUCGUAAAACUCUGUUAUUAGGGAAGAACAUAUGUGUAAGUAACUGUGCACAUCUUGACGGUACCUAAUCAGAAAGCCACGGCUAACUACGUG
rnacentral:rRNA from 1 species